rfam:Bacillus licheniformis ATCC 14580, complete genome.
AAGGUGGUUUUCUAGGGUUCCGCAGUGCCCUCCCGCGCUGGUCUGGUCCGAGAGAAAACACAUAGCGAAGUAUCGUUAUGACACGGUGGGAUAAAAGCCCAGGAGUU